rnacentral:rRNA from 1 species
GGAAUAUUGGGCGUAAAGCGCGCGCAGGCGGUCAUUUAAGUCUGGUGUUUAAUCCCGGGGCUCAACCCCGGAUCGCACUGGAAACUGGGUGACUUGAGUGCAGAAGAGGAGAGUGGAAUUCCACGUGUAGCGGUGAAAUGCGUAGAUAUGUGGAGGAACACCAGUGGCGAAGGCGACUCUCUGGGCUGUAACUGACGCUGAGGCGCGAAAGCGUGGGGAGCAAACAGGAUUAGAUACCCGGG